GAUGAACGCUGGCGGCGUGCCUAAUACAUGCAAGUCGAGCGAACAGACGAGGAGCUUGCUCCUCUGACGUUAGCGGCGGACGGGUGAGUAACACGUGGAUAACCUACCUAUAAGACUGGGAUAACUUCGGGAAACCGGAGCUAAUACCGGAUAAUAUAUUGAACCGCAUGGUUCAAUAGUGAAAGACGGUUUUGCUGUCACUUAUAGAUGGAUCCGCGCCGCAUUAGCUAGUUGGUAAGGUAACGGCUUACCAAGGCAACGAUGCGUAGCCGACCUGAGAGGGUGAUCGGCCACACUGGAGCUGAGACACGGUCCAGAGUCCUACGGGAGGCAGCAGUAGGGAAUCUUCCGCAAUGGGCGAAAGCCUGACGGAGCAACGCCGCGUGAGUGAUGAAGGUCUUCGGAUCGUAAAACUCUGUUAUUAGGGAAGAACAAAUGUGUAAGUAACUAUGCACGUCUUGACGGUACCUAAUCAGAAAGCCACGGCUAACUACGUG
rnacentral:rRNA from 1 species